CCUACGGGUGGCAGCAGUGAGGAAUAUUGGUCAAUGGGCGCGAGCCUGAACCAGCCAAGUCGCGUGAGGGAUGAAGGUUCUAUGGAUCGUAAACCUCUUUUAUAAGGGAAUAAAGUGUGGGACGUGUCCUAUUUUGUAUGUACCUUAUGAAUAAGGCUCGGCUAACUCCGUGCCCGCAGCCGCGGUAAUACGGAGGAUCCGAGCGUUAUCCGGAUUUAUUGGGUUUAAAGGGUGCGUAGGCGGCCUUUGAAGUCAGCGGUGAAAGUCUGUAGCUCAACCAUAGAAUUGCCGUUGAAACUGGGGGGCUUGAGUAUGUUUGAGGCAGGCGGAAUGCGUGGUGGAGCGGUGAAACGCUUAGAUAUCACGCAGAACCCGGAUGGCGAAGGCAGCCUGCCAAGCCAUGACUGACGCUGAUGCACGAAAGCGUGGGGAUCAAACAGGAUUAGAUACCCGAGUAGUC
rnacentral:rRNA from 1 species